rnacentral:rRNA from 1 species
GACGAACGCUGGCGGCGUGCUUAACACAUGCAAGUCGAACGGAAAGGCCCUGCUUUUGUGGGGUGCUCGAGUGGCGAACGGGUGAGUAACACGUGAGUAACCUGCCCUUGACUUUGGGAUAACUUCAGGAAACUGGGGCUAAUACCGGAUAGGAGCUCCUGCUGCAUGGUGGGGGUUGGAAAGUUUCGGCGGUUGGGGAUGGACUCGCGGCUUAUCAGCUUGUUGGUGGGGUAGGGGCUUACCAAGGCUUUGACGGGUAGCCGGCCUGGGAGGGUGACCGGCCACCUUGGGCCUGCGAUACGGCCCAGACUCCUACGGGCGGCAGCGGUGGGGAAUCUUGCGCAAUGGGCGGAAGCCUGAUGCAGCAACGCCGCGUGCGGGAUGACGGCCUUCGGGUUGUAAACCGCUUUCGCCUGUGACGAAGCGUGAGUGACGGUAAUGGGUAAAGAAGCACCGGCUAACUACGUG